rnacentral:rRNA from 1 species
UAGGGAAUCUUCCGCAAUGGACGAAAGUCUGACGGAGCAACGCCGCGUGAGUGAUGAAGGCUUUCGGGUCGUAAAACUCUGUUGUUAGGGAAGAACGAGUGCUAGUUGAAUAAGCUGGCACCUUGACGGUACCUAACCAGAAAGCCACGGCUAACUACGUGCCAGCAGCCGCGGUAAUACGUAGGCGGCAAGCGUUAUCCGGAAUUAUUGGGCGUAAAGCGCGCGCAGGUGGUUUCUUAAGUCUGAUGUGAAAGCCCACGGCUCAACCGUGGAGGGUCAUUGGAAACUGGGAGACUUGAGUGCAGAAGAGGAAAGUGGAAUUCCAUGUGUAGCGGUGAAAUGCGUAGAGAUAUGGAGGAACACCAGUGGCGAAGGCGACUUUCUGGUCUGUAACUGACACUGAGGCGCGAAAAGCGUGGGGAGCAGACAGGAUUAGAUACCCCUGGUAGUCCACGCCGUAAAACGAUGAGUGCUAAGUGUUAGAGGGGUUUCCGCCCUUUAGUGCUGAAAGUUAACGCAUUAAGCACUCCGCCUGGGGAGUACGGCCGC